GGGGGGCUGGCGCAACGGUAGCGCGUCAGAUUCCAGUAAUAGGAAUUUCCUGAAGGUUACCGGUUCAAAUCCGGUGUCCCUCA